UACAGAGGGGGCAAGCGUUGUUCGGAAUUACUGGGCGUAAAGGGCGCGUAGGCGGCUAUCCAAGUGGCGGGUGAAAUCCCUCGGCUUAACCGAGGAACUGCCUGCCAGACUGGAUGGCUCGAGACCGGGAGAGGUGAGUGGAAUUCCCAGUGUAGCGGUGAAAUGCGUAGAUAUUGGGAGGAACACCAGUGGCGAAGGCGGCUCACUGGACCGGUACUGACGCUGAGGCGCGAAAGCGUGGGGAGCAAACAGG
rnacentral:rRNA from 1 species